rnacentral:rRNA from 1 species
ACGGAAGGCAGCAGUGGGGGAUAUUGGGCAAUGGGCGCAAGCCUGACCCAGCAAUGCCGCGUGAAGGAAGAAGGCUUUCGGUUUGUAAACCUCUUUUAAGUGGGACGAUAAUGACGGUACCACUUGAAUAAGCUCCGGCUAACUACGUGCCAGCAGCCGCGGUAAUACGUAGGGAGCAAGCGUUAUCCGGAUUUACUGGGUGUAAAGGGCGUGUAGGCGGGACAGCAAGUCUGAUGUGAAAGCACGGGGCUCAACUUCGUGUCUGCAUUUGAAACUGCUGUUCUUGAGUGCUGGAGAGGCUAACGGAACUCCUAGUGUAGCGGUGAAAUGCGUAGAUAUUAGGAAGAACACCAGUGGCGAAGGCGGUUAGCUGGACAGUAACUGACGCUGAGGCGCGAAAGCGUGGGUAGCAAACAGGAUUAGAUACCCUGGUA